ensembl:lncRNA
CUCCUGGCUCCGGGCGGUGCUCAGCGCGCAGGGCGGCCGAGCGGAGCCGCAGAGUUUUGCGGUACCCGGAGCUCGGUGCCGGAAGCCGAGUGGCGAUUGUAAGACAGCCACGAGGUUUCACCGUUUGUUUCUGGGGGCUCUUUGAAGGAUGCCGACGCGGCGGCUCCCGAAACGCUACCGAAAUGUGCUGUUUGGGGAACUGUAUACAUUCCCAAGGGAUAGGUGGUGCACUCGCUGAUGCCCGCAGUGGAGCGCUGAUGCCUACCGGCAGCGGUUGGCAGGGCGCUAAUUGAGGGUUACAGGAGAUGAUUGCCUGGUAAAGGAUCCAUUCAGUCAGUUACGAUUUGGAACAAUUACAAAGGAUGGGCCUGAUCUGUGAAAAGAGACGCGAUAUGAAUAUACAGCAUGCGUUCUCAAGAUGAUUAUCAUGACAGAGAUCUGUCUAAUUAGGAAGGAUCUAUUUUAACGCUAAGAAAUGAAAGAGCCCAGCUGGGAGAGGAAUUCAGAGGAAGAUGCAGCGACACGACUGCUAAGCUGACAGCAAAUGCAGCCUAAGCGUGUUCCAAUGACAGCUUCUAAAAAAAAAAUCAUCUCAGCAUUUAAUCAAUAGCGGCUUCGGAACAAGUAGAGCCCCACAGAUAACCCAGCUAGUCACAGCAGUGGGAGGAGCUCCGUAAAUAACAUAGACAAUAUGUAUCUGCAGAGCGACACUCUGAAACCACUUCCCCUUUGCCGGCCGAGUUACGGCUAUCCAGUAGAUGGGCAACAUUAAAAGUAGCCCGAGGAUAGAGCUGAUCCCUGCCGUGCCAGAAACGCCCGUGUUCUCACACAGGUUGCAAACUGCUGCUUUGGGGCACCAAGUUUCAAACCACCGUGGGCAGCAGAGUGACCUUCGGAGCGGCUGCCGGGGUAGAAACCUUACUGAGUGCUCCUCCCGUGAUUAAAGGGCUCGUGUGUAAGUCAACGGAUGCCACGGUGACUCUCUGGUAUCUGCUGCAAGGCCAGCCUAGCAUCAACAGCUCGGCGUGCCCGCUGAGUGGAAUAACUUUGGAAGCCAGAUAACAGGCCCCUUUCGGGUAUGGAUGAAGCUUUCUUACGCCACGAAAAGCACUUCAAAAAUCUCUGCUGAAGUUUCUCAAGGACACAGCGAGCAAAUGAGAUGUACUUCACUUCCUACGAGCGCCUGGGCAGCUACCCUACAUGCAAUCCAUGCAGAAAUGGAAACAGUUGUUAAAGUGGCAGAAUUUACAUGGAGUGGCACUGUUAGAGGAAUGUUACUGAAACACACCCUAGGUUAGAAAGCAAAAGUAAGGUAAGUAAUCCAGGUAGGUCACAGUGUACCUUUCCUUUAUUAUGGGCAUCUGGUUUCAGAGGUAAUAGCUGUAGAUGCCCAUGGAAACAGCGAGUUGAGAGUGAGAAGGGGGGAAAGGAUCCCAGGUCAGUAACUGGGAUGGAAAGGAGGAAAGCAGGGAGAGAGAAAGAAGAAAGGACAGAAGGAAAAUUCCCAAAGAGAUGCUGGGGGGGUUCCUUAUGGCUUACACCAAAAUAUACACGAAAGAACCCAAACUCACUUAGCCAUUCUUACCCCGAGUAGCCCACUCCUCACUAAAGGCUGUCCAUUUCCAUUUAGCUUGAAUUAGCAGGGCAACAAACAGAAAAUCCUUCAUCAAUAAAAACAAAUCCCAGCUUUAUUGAUGAGGAAGCAGCUGGGGGAAUUUAUUUAUUUAUCUUUUUUCUCCCGGGCAUUUGCUGUUAACUGUGAGCCAUUUAUAAGAAUUUCAGAGUGAACGCCAUCACCUGGAAUCUUCCGAGGCAGAAAGAGAGACUGACCCUAAGGAGCACUACUGUUCAUCCUUUUCCAUGCGGGAGACUGAUGAUGGUUCUCCAAUCCUUGGCAUAACCAACCAAGUACCACGUUGAAACACACAGGUUUUCACAGUCUUAAUUUUCAGAGAAACAAAACAAAAGGUCAUUUUUCACAGUGGUUGUUAUUGGUAAGAUUCACGUAAGUUCAAUCUUCAAGCAGGAGACACGCUCUGUAUUCCCCCUCAUCCCAAAGUGCCCACUACUACUGUCGUUGUCUCUCCGAGACUGCUAUAAGUUUACAGCCUACCAACACACAUGCAUUUCGCAUACAUACAGACUUGUAUUAAAAGCAUGUCACUGAGGUUAAAGUUCUGCAGUCAACGAGCUUAAAACUACCCAAAUCAAAGCGCUUGUGCAAUCUUUAUUUGGCUUCCUUGUGUAAUCCACUGCAUGAUGAAGUCUUCAAAUACACCCUCACAAACUGUUUUUCCACAGGAUGUUUGCUUCGUUCUGUACACAGAAUUGUCAGUGCUCACCAGUGAGCAGCUAUUCAAUACGUGUUUUCCUUUUUGUUUUGCAUAUGACCUCACGUCUAUUUACUAAUUCAACCCCUUGUUCCUAGACAUUCAUUUCCCUGGAAUGACCACCGCCGUGGCUCCUGAGUGUUUCACGUACCAAUAAACUGUUUUUCAGUUUAUGGCAAGCGAGAGGAUCAUGCUCUCGCUCACGAUAGAUACUGGAAACUGAAACAAAGAAACCAAGCUUAAAUCUUUUGCUAAAAUGCCUAAUUUGAGCUGAUUCUUUUUUUUUUCAAGUUGUAUUUUAGACAACUUAAAGUACACCAUGCAUCAUGAGAUCAGCC